rnacentral:misc_RNA from 1 species
UUAAGUUCAGCGGGUAGUCUUGCUUGAUUUGAGAUCGGUAAACCAAGGCUUGCACAUUGGAAGCAAUGCGCACCUUGUGAAUCAAGCCUGUACAGGCACGAUUGGUAAAGGGCUUAGAGUCUCAUGUGUAGUCGCCAGGUACAAAGUGCUAUUGGCGUUAUGCACACCUUACCACACAGUGCCCACGACGACCGCAUUGG